rnacentral:tRNA from 1 species
GCCGCUGUAGCUCAGCCUGGUAGAGCACCUACGCCGUCCUCCGCCCGCUUGCCCGACCCGGGCCGAAGGAGGACGGUUACCGUAACUUAGGAUGUCGCGGGUUCGAGUCCCGCCGGCGGCG